rnacentral:rRNA from 1 species
CCUUCAUGAAGCCGGAAUUGCUAGUAAUGGCAGGUCAGCAUACUGCCGUGAAUACGUUCCCGGGCCUUGUACACACCGCCCGUCACACCAUGGAAGUCUGCAAUGCCCGAAGCCGGUGGCCUAACCACUUAUGUGGAAGGAGCCGUCUAAGGCAGGGCAGAUGACUGGGGUGAAGUCGUAACAAGGUAGC